rnacentral:lncRNA from 1 species
GGCGAAGCGAAAGUUGCGGCGGACGAGCUGCUGUCUGGAGCAAGCGGGAAGAAGGGGAAAGUUGCGCCGCCUCAGUCCCCAAAUCCUAGGGGAACCUCCUGGCGUCACGCGAGGAAGGCUUGGGACCCCGAGCGAAAGGAAGGCGCUGCCCNUACAGCUAGGAAUCAGGGGUGCAGGGGGCACCAGUCUGGUAGGCAAAUCCNUGGGAAACUGCGUCAUCAGUGGCUCCUAGUCGCGAGCGCCCUGGACUGCCUUCCGGUGUUGAGAGGACCGCUGGGUUGGGAGACUUUUCAGCAGGUGGCGGCCCCCAGCUGGGCUUAGCUGAUCCCCAGAAAGCUAAGCAGGGCAGGACCUGGUUAGUCGUUGGAUGGGAGACCACCAGGAAAUCACGAGAGAGGCAGCUACAAAGGGAAAAGGCAGUGUCAGGCCACUUCCAAGCUUACUGUUGCAAAAAAAAAAAAAAAAAAAACCAAUCUCCUUUAAUGUAACUACAUAGUCACCAGGAGCUAAGAAAAACUUGAGAACAUCCUUGCAUUCAUGUUCUGCUUGUACGCUUCAGAAAGGUAACCCCUUGGUUCUUGUGAGAACAGUCUUCGGGACUAAGCUUGCUGUUUUUCCAAUCUGACAGAGGCUUUCUGAACCAAUGUGNUGGUCGUGAGUAGGACUGGGGAAACCACUGCCCCUGGAUCAGUCCCUGUGUUUGAACCCAACCUACCUUGCAGGGUUGUUGUGAGAAUAAAAAUGGAGGAGAGGAGAANCGUGGGAACCUCUCUGAGCUUUUUGGAAGAAGUGGAGGAUAUAGUGUUCAGUGCUUGCAACUCNUUGAGCAGAGAAACUCCCACUGGCCUCUGCACAGGUUUACCUCUGCCUCAGGGNGCCUGGGUGGCAGAUUAACGGCAUGAAUGCCUUGCUGGAUCAGACCAAUGGCCCAUCUCAUGCAGCAACCUGCUCUCUCACAACAGCCAAUCAAUUGCUUGGCUCAUUGCAAGUUNCCAAUUAUUCAGUACUAUUGGUCCACACAGGUUCCACCCCCAGCCUCUUCCUACUUCCAUAUCCAUGGCAAUGGCAAGGAUGCAUCCAUGUCUUUAGCCAACUUCUGGUUCCAAGGAUGGUCUGAGUGCCCUUCUCCUUCCUUCACAGCCACACCUGCUUUUUUCCUGCUGUGUAGUUCCUUGCCAGAUGCAGAAGUGGUUUGCCUUCACCUUCUUUUUGGGAGAUGUCGGGGAUCGAACCUUCCAAGUCUUCUGUUUCCCAGGCAGUUUGCUCUACCGUUGAGCUCUGGGCAGCCUUCUCAGGUGGUUACCUUCCAGAACGGCCAAUGGUCAAAGAAUUUACAGUGCGCAUGUGACAUUUAGGAAACCGGCCCACGCAAAGCUGAACAGCUAAAGGAAAUGCUUAGGGCUAUUUCAAAAUCAGGGACUUUCUGAGCAGUGGGUUUCCCACCACCUGCCAAAGCAUGGGGCUGCAAGUAUCUUCACUCGAGGCUGCAUUUCUGAGGAAGGACAAUGAUAUUGCAUUUUUUCACCGUGCGAGGAAGGCAAAAUGCUCCAGACCAUAUGUGACCAUCUCCUAGGAGACAUAUUUCUCUGCUCUGUGCACUUGUGCACUGUGCACAGUGAACAAUUUUGCAUCAUUUUCUAUGUCUGCUGUGCAUGCCGAAGGCACAGAUCCAUUUACUAUACUAAAAAUUGUGUGACCUAUUGGCCCAUUAACUUCAUAGGUCUCACCAGGUGUCAUUCUCAUCCUGAUANCUGACACUCUCCUAUGGAAAGAUCCCAGGAAUUGAACUUUGGACUUCUGCGUGCAAAACAUGUGCCGUGUGACUGAGUCGCUGGUCCUUCCUGUAGCUUCUUGAUAGCACUGCAAUAGUUCUUAUCAGACAGUGGAACAAAUAAAAUAACCACAACAACAUUCUUUAAAUACA